AAAUUCUGUUUCGGUUGCAGUUCCAUUGUGUGGAGCCAGUACUACAACUUUUCCUCCUGCAUUCAUUUCUCUUCCUGCUGCCUUGUGAAGAAGGUGCCUUGCUUCCCCUUCACCUUCUACGGUGAUUGCAAGUUGCCUGAGGAUUCCCCAGCCAUGUGAAACUUUCACAGAGUUUGAGAGAAACUGUAUUCAAGUUGCUGAAACCAAGAAGCUACACUCACGAGUCUCACCUAAACUCGAAUCUGAUUUAGAUGACAUCAUCCUGGACUUUGAGUUGAUGAAACCUUGGAGGUCUUGGGAGUAAAGCAAGUGUGAUUUGCAUAUGAUGGAUAUGAAUUGUAAUGGCCAGAGCAUGGCUGUGGGAACCAAGACUGAAUUCCAUAAUUUACAUGGAUGUUUGGAAGGUGUCUGCAACUUAAUCUGUGUUCGUUUCUGAGAUGUUGGGCAACUCCUUCUUGGAAGAUGUGGUAAUGGUCUCUUCGAAAAGAAAAUAAUCAUCUGAGUUUUGGCCAAAAUAGUUGAUCGGAUUACCUAUGAAAAUGACUCUCACCCAACUACAAGAAUGUUAU
rnacentral:lncRNA from 1 species